rnacentral:rRNA from 1 species
UGGGGAAUAUUUCACAAUGGGGGAAACCCUGAUGCAGCGACGCCGCGUGAACGAAGAAGGUAUUCGUAUCGUAAAGUUCUGUCCUAUGGGAAGAUAAUGACAGUACCAUAGAAGAAAGCUCCGGCUAAAUACGUGCCAGCAGCCGCGGUAAUACGUAUGGAGCGAGCGUUGUCCGGAAUUAUUGGGCGUAAAGGGUACGCAGGCGGUUUAAUAAGUCGAAUGUUAAAGAUCGGGGCUCAACCCCGCAAAGCAUUGGAAACUGAUAAACUUGAGUAGUGGAGAGGAAAGUGGAAUUCCUAGUGUAGUGGUGAAAUACGUAGAUAUUAGGAAGAAUACCAGUAGCGAAGGCGACUUUCUGGACACAAACUGACGCUGAGGUACGAAAGCGAGGGGAGCAAACAGG